GGUAAUGUGGCUUAGUGGUAGAAUGCUUGUCUAGCAUGCAUGAAGCCCUGGGUUCAAUUCCUCAGUACCA
rnacentral:tRNA from 1 species